AACACCCACUGGAGCUGCGCGCGCCCCUCCCUGGGGUUCGACUCUCGGAAGCUCAUAAUUUGGCAGCGCUGCGGCACAUGCGCUGUUCUCCUUCGGUUCCCCUAAGCUAUGAUGGCUCACUAUUUAGCAGCGGGCAGCCGUUGUCGCAGUGCCAUUUGAACAGCCAGUAUGGAAAGAGGGGCAGUUCGGAGCGGAUCUCUUACUCCCAGCCAGCUGGUACUUUUGCACUGGAACACAGCAGGUGCUUAUCAGAGACUACAUGGACUAUAAGUAACAAUAAAUGCUGUUAACUCUGCCAGCACCUACAGAACAGAGGAGCUCAAAAUAUUGUCAAAAGUCCUCCAAUUUAUUCAAACCUGCUUCUCUCCACAAACAAAAAUUAAUCUUCAAUGUUAUCACAGCAAUUGAUUUCAGUGGAGAAGUGGAACUGGGUGGAAAAGAAUCUGAAGGGUUUUUAUCACUGCUGUUUUCCCCCUCUGCAGGUAGAGAAGGAUAAUUGGACAAAGGACUUGGAAAUAGAGAAUGAUUUAGCCAGUAUGAAAGGAGGUAGGAAGACCUGAAUAAACAAAAAGAGAAAGGGGGUUUAAACAGCCAUUAAUCAGGAUUAAAAAAGGACAAGCUACAGAAGAGGGUAAGAGAAGAAACAAUGAAUGAGAUUAGAAGGGAGUAGGGGACAAUGAAGAGAGAGGCUCUAGGAAAGGACUAAUGAUUAUUUAAAAUUUCAUCUAGGUUGAGGAGGAGAGAGUGGAGAGAACUAAGGGAAAAGAAAGAUGAAAUCUGACUAGUCACCUUGCAGGGAAAGAGAACAGGACCAAAAAAGGGAUAAAGGACAAGAGGAUGAAAAGAAGGCAAGGUUUACAAAACCUACUCAGUUUGGUUUUAGACUCCUAAAGUGAUGGUGUCAAGGUACAUAGCUAUGCAAGGAGCACAACUUAGUUAGGUUCCACUUUCUUUUUCACUAAUGGAGAAAGCUUCAUGUAUGUAAAUGUACACUCUUUAACUGAGAAUAAAACAAUGAAAGUUCAUAUUAUUAAUUUACACUUAUUUGUUCUUGUAAAAAUUAUAAUGAGCAUUAUAAAUUGCAGCAUCCAUCUUAAAGCAUUUUAAGAGGGCUCUAUGAUUUUUUCACCCAUGUUCAGCUUAUCAGUUGCUUUUGCUUGUUUCGGCUUCCUCAAGAACAAUGUUUUACAAUAGGUCUGGAAUGGCAUUGAGUUGUUGUAAUCAAAAGGUGGCAAUAUAACAUUCAGAUGUUUAGUUACGGUUUAUCGCCUUUAUCAAAUGUAUCUUAAGGAAAGAAUACCUUUGUGCAGGACAGAAUGCUAUUCAUUAAUAGAGAACUUGACAUGCUAUGAUAUCCAAAAUAAUUAUAUUAAAAGAAUGUUAAGGUUGCAAAGUCAAACACUCCAAAGAUAGGAAAUGCCAGAAUUAAAUUUUGCCUGGCAACUUCAAUUUGGCCCCGAUGCACAUAUACACUUUAAUCUUUAAUUACAUGAUCACAUACUAUUUUUUUUCCCCCACAGGUACCAUGUCUCUUUCAGUGAAUGGGCAGCUAUUUAAUAUUUCUUUUUAUCCUCCACAUUGAAUGUGUGCCUCUAGGCUUUAUUUAACACACACCAUGCAUACUUUUCAGUGGAUAAAAAAAAUAAUAAUUUCUUCAUGGGCAUUUGCUUGGUGCUCAGGCCAUAGUAGCUGAAUGCUUCACAAACAUUAAUGAGUUUAUCUACUCAUUUGAGAUUAUGUAAUAGUACUAUCCCCAACUGACAGCUGGGAAACUGAAGUGCAGAGAGAGAUUAAGGUCAAAAACUGUUAAAUGUGUACACUAAUAUUGGGUAGCCAGCCUGAAACAUCUAGGGCCUUAUUUUGCAGAGGACUUAAUAUUUCCAUAGUACUUUUUGUUCAAAACAUGGCUCCAGUUGGUUCUAGUUGCAGUUGUGAGCAUUCAGAAUUUUUUGCAACUCGAGACCAGGUGUAUCACAUUGUGUUCCUCAUUUUAUGGGUACCCACAGUUAGUGGUCACCUGUGACAAUUUUGGUUUGUGAUUUGCCCAGCAUCUUAUAGGAACCCUGUGGCACAGGCAGGGAUAGAAUACAGUUCUCUAGGGUGACAUUUGAAUUCCUUAACUAUGAGCCUGUCCUCUCUCUUCCCUGCCUUAUUCGUACAACAGCCGCACUGACCACAGAAUCCUGAUUCAUUCUGAGAUGAACAUCCAUCCUGUGCACCAAAUGAGGAAGGGGUCUUAUGGGAAAAAAUAGUAUGGGGUCAUGUAAUGAAAGACUAUCAUAAUGUGCAUAUAUAUAUUGUAUAUAAGGAGGCUGAUUUAAGUUUUCACAGGGAACCUUAUUUCUGAAAUUUCCUAACAUUUGAGCGCUUGACUUCACAACCUUAGUGUUCUUUUAAUGUCAUGUUUCUAAUGUAGUUUCCUAAUUUAAAAAAAGUAACAAACUGAAAAAAAAACCAGAUAUUCCAUCAUGUGAAACUAUAUUCACCAGUUUGGGUCAUCAGUAGGGUUUAGACCUUUAGACUCACAGCUCAGACUUCUGCUAUUUGUGCUAAUGGACUAAAUGGUAGCUGUAUUAGGCUGUUAUCUCCCAAGUCAGGUGGACCAUUCAUUAGAAGAUGAGACAGAUAUUUUGCUGAUGGGCUUCACAGGUAUUUGCUGACAGCAGAGGAAUGUAGAGACCAAGGACCCUCAGACUCAAUUCCAGGUUCUGUAGGGGAAGCAUGCUUUAGUGAUUAAACUAGUGAUUUAGCAUGCUGUUGUUCCCCUAGCCUGUGUUCGUCCCUCUCUGCUGCUAGCCAAACUCCAGCCCCCACUGGCUCCCCCUCCCUCCUCCUGUCCUACCCAUACUGUGGCAUUCCACCUCUUCCUUCCUUCCUCACUUCUCUGCAUUCCAGUGUAGUUGUCACCUCCUUCUCCACACUUCCUGGUUGCCAGCACAGGAGAACACAGAGAAAAGGAACACUGCUGUCAAUUUCAGUGCUUGGCACUACAGUGGGCCCUCAGCUGCUGAAAGAUACAAUUUCAGGGAAAGUCUUGCUCAGACCCUGCAGGCUCAGGAUGAAGCAUGUUCAGUUGCUCUGUAGGGAUGGCCCAUGCAGUCUGGUUGGCAUGUAAGAUUUACCUAGUAAUAGUCUUUUGAGAAUAAAACCCUCUAAGCAGGUACAGCUGAGAAAGCAAUAGUGCAAGGAUCCUACUGCCCUACUAUUUGUUUCAUUGCUGCCCUAAGGAGAUAGCCUCUAGGGAUGUUUAUUCUUCUGAGAUGGAUAGGAAGGGUUAAUUAGUGCCAAUUAUUUUACAUUUAUAUUGUGGUAGAGCCUAGAAGUCUCAACCAGGGUUGAGGCCUAUUGUAGCAGGCACUGUAGAAACAUACAGUAAAUGACAGCUUAUAGCUUAUUAGGGUGCUUGUAUAUAUGACCAUUUGUUCACUAGGAACUGAACAGAAACUUGCCAGCUCGAUUCACAUAAGCCACCAAAGAGCAAUUAAACAGCAGCAGCCACUAAACCUGAGCAGGAACCAUCAAAUUCUUUUUAAAAUGGCAACAUGUUGCAGAACUCCUCACAGCUAAUAAGGAGCAAGGAAGAGAGGGCGUUACCUGGGAAACAAUACAUUGUGUUCAGUGGAAAUUUAAGAAAAGCUUUAAAAAUUCUUAGAUUAAUGUUAUGUGAUAAGGCUGUAAAAUCAUACAAAUUCAAAUCCCAAUCUGUCUCUUCCCAUCUCUGGAAUAGUAGGUGGAGGUAACGGACUCAGCUAUUGGGAGUGCAGGUGAGAGGAGAAAGCAGAAGUGUAUUGCUGUCAAAUGGCUAACUUUGAUGGAAGUUAGUCCUUCAUAGGAUUGCUUUUUGCUGUCAACUGAUGCUGCCACAGUCUGACGCCUACUCCAAGGCUGAGGCAAGCCCCCAUCAAAGAGUCCUGCUCCUCUGUGGGGAUGGUUUAAAGGAGAAAACACAAAAUGAAGUUUGCUGUUGGUUUCUAGGAAGACUUCACACCUUGUCUUCAUACAAAAGCCUUUCUUUGUAGUCCCCAAAACUUUUUACUGUGACUAAACUCAUCAGUUCACUUACUUAUGGAAAUCUUCUCUCAGCUUAUCUUCACGGACCUUGCCCCCUUAGCUAACCAACACAUUUCUCUAGGCACCACUCUCCAGUGAUUGAAUGCCUCCUACUAAAAUGUGGUUGGACAGAGCUCGUUAUCAGUAGUACUGGCAGAACUGUCCCUGUGAUGUAUCUAAUGUGAGACACUGUGUUUUGUACAGUGCUUAGCACAAUUGGGUUCUGAUCUAUGACUAAGACUCCUUGGCACUAAAGGAAAACAAGUAAGAAAUAAUAUGUUUUCCCCUGCAUAGGUGAGUUGAUAUUAAAUUAUGUAUAUUUAUUUACA